AUGCUCUACAUAAUAUACAGUAGUAAUAACACAGAGAAUACGUAUGGAAUGCGUAUCUCUCUAUAUAUAUUUAUGUAUAUAUGCUAUGUGUGUAUAUACACCUCAUAUUUCUCUCUGUGUAUGACCACGGCUUCCACAACGUGUCGCGAUGGAUGACUUGUCUUCCUAUUUCUUUAAAAAACGCAACAAAGUGCGAUAAGUGGUAUCAUUUGCAAAAUCUUUUCUUUGCCCAAUCUUUGAACGCAAACGGCGCGGGGGAAAAUCUCUCUCGAGCCAUCCCCGUGCAUGCCACAUUUCUCAGUGUCAAAUAUCAAAACAAAACGCACAUCUUUUUUGUGUUGUUCAACGCACGCACAAAAUCCCCCCACCUCUUCUCCUCGUGGGGUGCAUAUUCGUGUUUGAGA
rnacentral:rRNA from 1 species